rnacentral:rRNA from 1 species
AUACGGAGGAUCCGAGCGUUAUCCGGAUUUAUUGGGUUUAAAGGGAGCGCAGGCGGAGAUGCAAGCGUGACGUCAAAUUUCGGGGCUCAACCCCGUCUCGCGUCGCGAACUGCGUCCCUUGGUUGCGGGAAGGGGAGGCGGAACUCGUGGUGUAGCGGUGAAAUGCAUAGAUAUCACGAAGAACUCCGAUCGCGAAGGCAGCCUUCCGGCCCGUCAACGACGCUCAUGCUCGAAGGUGCGGGUAUCAAACAGGAUUAGAUACCCUGGUAGUCCGCACAGUAAACGAUGGACACCCGCGGUUUGGCCUGUAUGGCUGAGCCGCCAAGCGAAAGCGUUAAGUGUCCCACCUGGGGAGUACGCCGGCAACGGUGAAACUCAAAUGAAUUGAGGGGG